UUGCUAGUUACCAUCAUUAAGUUGGGGACUCUAGCGAGACUGCCAGUGAUAAACUGGAGGAAGGUGGGGAUGACGUCAAAUCAUCAUGCCCCUUAUGACCUGGGCUACAAACGUGAUACAAUGGCUGGAACAAAGGGAUGCGAAGCAGUGAUGUGGAGCGAAACCCAUAAAAACAGUCUCAGUUCGGAUUGAAGUCUGCAACUCGACUUCAUGAAGUCGGAAUCGCUAGUAAUCGCGGAUCAGAACGCCGCGGUGAAUACGUUCUCGGGGUUU
rnacentral:rRNA from 1 species